rnacentral:rRNA from 2 species
UGCGACCCCAGGUCAGGCGGGACUACCCGC